rnacentral:rRNA from 1 species
AUACGGGGGGUGCAAGCGUUAUUCGGAUUUAUUGGGCGUAAAGGGCGCGUAGGCGGCUUGGAAAGUCAGAUGUGAAAGCCCGGGGCUCAACCCCGGAAGUGCAUUUGAAACUAUCAGGCUUGAGUAUGGGAGAGGGAAGUGGAAUUCCUGGUGUAGAGGUGAAAUUCGUAGAUAUCAGGAGGAACACCGGUGGCGAAGGCGACUUCCUGGACCAAUACUGACGCUGAGGCGCGAAGGCGUGGGGAGCAAACAGGAUUAGAAACCCCAGUAGUCC